CUCUGCAGCGCUUCAGCGAGGGUGCCCUGGAGUACCUAGCCAACCUGGACCGAGCCCCAGACCCCACGGUCAGGAAGGACGCCUUUGCCACCGACAUCUUCAGCGCCUACGAUGUUCUCUUCCAUCAGUGGCUGCAGAGUCGAGAAGCCAAGCUCCGUCUUGCCGUGGUGGAGGCUCUGGGGCCUAUGAGCCAUCUGCUGCCCAGUGAGAGGCUGGAAGAGCAGCUGCCCAAGCUCCUCCCUGGGAUUCUCGCCCUCUACAAGAAGCACGCAGAGACCUUCUACUUGUCCAAGAGCCUGGGCCAGAUCCUCGAGGCAGCUGUGAGUGUGGGCAGCCGCACACUGGAGACCCAGCUGGAUGCCCUCUUGGCUGCACUGCACUCCCAGAUCUGUGUGCCUGUGGAGUCCUCAAGCCCCCUGGUGAUGAGUAACCAGAAGGAGGUGCUGCGCUGCUUCACUGUGCUGGCCUGCAGCUCGCCUGACCGCCUACUGGCCUUCCUGCUGCCCAGGCUGGACACCAGCAAUGAGAGGACCCGCGUGGGCACCCUGCAGGUGGUCAGACAUGUCAUCAACUCAGCUG
rnacentral:circRNA from 1 species